rnacentral:rRNA from 1 species
GACGAACGCUGGCGGCGUGCUUAACACAUGCAAGUCGAACGGAAAGGCCCUGCUUUUGUGGGGUGCUCGAGUGGCGAACGGGUGAGUAACACGUGAGUAACCUGCCCUUGACUUUGGGAUAACUUCAGGAAACUGGGGCUAAUACCGGAUAGGAGCUCCUGCUGCAUGGUGGGGGUUGGAAAGUUUCGGCGGUUGGGGAUGGACUCGCGGCUUAUCAGCUUGUUGGUGGGGUAGUGGCUUACCAAGGCUUUGACGGGUAGCCGGCCUGAGAGGGUGACCGGACAGGGGGGGGAGUGGAGGCGGACAAGACUGGGGGGGAAGGAAGGGGGGGAGAGUAGUGCACGGUGGGCGGAACGAUGAGGCAGCGACGGGUGGUGGGGGAUGUCGGUGUUGGAUGAGGAAGCCGGUUUCGCGGGGGACGAGGGGGGAGUGAGGGAAGUGAGAAAAGAAGCACCGGCUAACUAGGGGCCAGCGGCCGGAGGAAGAGUGGGAAGAACAUACGUCUAAAC